CAACAACCUACGCCAAUGCUUCCAAUCCGUACCUCACCGAGCUGUACGCCGGCUGGGACUAUGUCAUUCCGUUCAUUCUGCUGAUCAUCAUUUAUUACAAAACGCCGAAGUUUGAGGACAAUUUCUAUAUCACCAAGGAGAUGAAGUAUAUCUUCAUUUGUAUGUGCAUCCAG
rnacentral:rRNA from 1 species